rnacentral:lncRNA from 1 species
ACACCAUGAAGAUUUGAUGGCGGUGGCAAUGCAAUCUGAUAGGCCACGCCCCCUAUCCUCUUAAAUAUAUAGUACGACCCAAUAAACCGCGGAGCGAGCUUUUUGGACUUCAAAGUUCGUCCAACACAUGUCAUCACAGUCAUCCUCAUAAACACAUGAUGUCCCUCUCGAAACUCUACUGCUCUCUUCUUUUGAUCGUAAUAAC